AACGAACGCUGGCGGCAUGCCUAACACAUGCAAGUCGAACGAGACCUUCGGGUCUAGUGGCGCACGGGUGCGUAACACGUGGGAAUCUGCCCUUUGCUUCGGAAUAACAGUUAGAAAUGACUGCUAAUACCGGAUGAUGUCGAAAGACCAAAGAUUUAUCGGCAAAGGAUGAGCCCGCGUAGGAUUAAGUAGUUGGUGGGGUAAAGGCCUACCAAGCCGACGAUCCUUAGCUGGUCUGAGAGGAUGAUCAGCCACACUGGGACUGAGACACGGCCCAGACGCCUUCGGGAGGCAGCAGUGGGGAAUAUUGGACAAUGGGCGAAAGCCUGAUCCAGCAAUGCCGCGUGAGUGAUGAAGUCCUUAGGGUUGUAAAGCUCUUUUACCAGGGAUGAUAAUGACAGUACCUGGAGAAUAAGCUCCGGCUAACUCCGUGCCAGCCGCCGCAGUAACAC
rnacentral:rRNA from 1 species